rnacentral:rRNA from 1 species
AACCGAGAACUCCUACGGGAGGCAGCAGUGGGGAAUUUUGGACAAUGGGGGCAACCCUGAUCCAGCAAUGCCGCGUGAGUGAAGAAGGCCUUCGGGUUGUAAAGCUCUUUUGUCAGGGAAGAAACGGUAGUAGCUAAUAUCUAUUACUAAUGACGGUACCUGAAGAAUAAGCACCGGCUAACUACGUGCCAGCAGCCGCGGUAAUACGUAGGGUGCGAGCGUUAAUCGGAAUUACUGGGCGUAAAGCGUGCGCAGGCGGCUUUGCAAGACAGAGGUGAAAUCCCCGGGCUCAACCUGGGAACUGCCUUUGUGACUGCAAGGCUAGGGUACGGCAGAGGAGGAUGGAAUUCCGCGUGUAGCAGUGAAAUGCGUAGAUAUGCGGAGGAACACCGAGGGCGAAGGCAAUCCCCUGGGCCUGUACUGACGCUCAUGCACGAAAGCGUGGGGAGCAAACAGGAUUAGAAACCCUUGUAGUCCGACUGAGA